rnacentral:rRNA from 1 species
UAGGGAAUCUUCGGCAAUGGACGAAAGUCUGACCGAGCAACGCCGCGUGAGUGAAGAAGGUUUUCGGAUCGUAAAACUCUGUUGUUAGAGAAGAACAAGGACGUUAGUAACUGAACGUCCCCUGACGGUAUCUAACCAGAAAGCCACGGCUAACUACGUGCCAGCAGCCGCGGUAAUACGUAGGUGGCAAGCGUUGUCCGGAUUUAUUGGGCGUAAAGCGAGCGCAGGCGGUUUCUUAAGUCUGAUGUGAAAGCCCCCGGCUCAACCGGGGAGGGUCAUUGGAAACUGGGAGACUUGGGUGCAGAAGAGGAGAGUGGAAUUCCGUGUGUAGCGGUGAAAUGCGUAGAUAUAUGGAGGAACACCAGUGGCGAAGGCGGCUCUCUGGUCUGUAACUGGCGCUGAGGCUCGAAAGCGUGGGGAGCAAACAGG